UUUGGCAGACGCUUUUGUCCAAAGCGACUUACAAUAGUCAAGUACAAUGUAAAAUAAGUUUAAAGGUAAAACAUCUUUGGAUAGGGAUAAAAGGAGGUCAAAGGGGAGUAAUAGGAUAGAGGAGUGAAGGAGGGGAAGAAGGAAAUGGGGUUAGAAGUAGUUAGUGUGUUAGAGGUGUUAAGAGAGUAAGUGCUCUUUGAAGAGCUCUGUCUUCAGGAGUUUAUUAAAGAUAGUGAGAGAUUCUCCUGAUCUGGUAGUGGAAGGUAGUUUGUUCCACCAUUGGGGAACUCUGUAUGAGAAAAGUCUGGA